rnacentral:rRNA from 1 species
UCCAGGAAAAGCCUCUAAGCAUCAGGUAACAUCAAAUCGUACCCCAAACCGACACAGGUGGUCAGGUAGAGAAUACCAAGGCGCUUGAGAGAACUCGGGUGAAGGAACUAGGCAAAAUGGUGCCGUAACUUCGGGAGAAGGCACGCUGAUAUGUAGGUGAAGUCCCUCGCGGAUGGAGCUGAAAUCAGUCGAAGAUACCAGCUGGCUGCAACUGUUUAUUAAAAACACAGCACUGUGCAAACACGAAAGUGGACGUAUACGGUGUGACGCCUGCCCGGUGC